rnacentral:rRNA from 1 species
UGGGGAAUUUUGGACAAUGGGCGAAAGCCUGAUCCAGCAAUGCCGCGUGUGUGAAGAAGGCCUUCGGGUUGUAAAGCACUUUUGUCCGGGAAAGAAAUCCUUGGCUCUAAUACAGUCGGGGGAUGACGGUACCGGAAGAAUAAGCACCGGCUAACUACGUGCCAGCAGCCGCGGUAAUACGUAGGGUGCAAGCGUUAAUCGGAAUUACUGGGCGUAAAGCGUGCGCAGGCGGUUUGCUAAGACCGAUGUGAAAUCCCCGGGCUCAACCUGGGAACUGCAUUGGUGACUGGCAGGCUAGAGUAUGGCAGAGGGGGGUAGAAUUCCACGUGUAGCAGUGAAAUGCGUAGAGAUGUGGAGGAAUACCGAUGGCGAAGGCAGCCCCCUGGGCCAAUACUGACGCUCAUGCACGAAAGCGUGGGGAGCAAACAGGAUUAGAUACCCUGGUAGUCCACGCCCUAAACGAUGUCAACUAGUUGUUGGGGAUUCAUUUCCUUAGUAACGUAGCUAACGCGUGAAGUUGACCGCCUGGGGAGUACGGUCGCAAGAUUAAAACUUAAAUGAAUUGACGGGGUCAUAGCUGUUUCCU